rnacentral:lncRNA from 1 species
GGAGGUUUGACACUUGAAGGUACUAGCUGGGAUUUAGGUAUAGAUAAUGAUUCAAAUUUAGUAGCCCAUCUGCUAGUAUCCAUUACAAGAAUGGAAUCUAGCAAUGCAAUAACCUCCUGAUUCGACUCUCCUUUCUCACAAUCUUGACUGAAUUGGGCCAAACAUCUUUUUAGUGGAUCAGAAUAACUUGAUUCCUCGAAGGUCUUGCUGAUUAUGUUCUCAAUCAUGUGAAUUUCUUCUAAAUCGUCCAUCUCAGAUGGUUGAUU